UACAGAGGUCCCAAGCGUUGUUCGGAUUCAUUGGGCGUAAAGGGUGCGUAGGUGGCAUGGUAAGUCGGGUGUGAAAUCCUGGGGCUUAACCCCGGAACUGCAUUCGAUACUGCAGUGCUUGAGGACUGGAGAGGAGACUGGAAUUCAUGGUGUAGCAGUGAAAUGCGUAGAGAUCAUGAGGAAGACCAGUGGCGAAGGCGGGUCUCUGGACAGUUCCUGACACUGAGGCACGAAGGCCAGGGGAGCAAACGGG
rnacentral:rRNA from 1 species